rnacentral:tRNA from 1 species
AAAUAAGAAACAAAAAUGUAAUUAGUUUCGACCUAAUCCUAUGAUGAAUAUCAUCCUUAUUUA